rnacentral:ncRNA from 1 species
UUUAUUGUUAUGAAGGAAAGAGUUAUAUAUGCUUUUUUAUAGAGAAUCUUUGGUUGGUGGAAAAAGAUAUUAAAUAUAUAAUAGAUGGUUCCUGAACUUGUUAAUUGAUAUGUAGGUUAACACGUUGGCAGCGUUAAUGCAUUUGAGAGUAUAGAUUUUAUCUAUAAAUUAAGGUGGUACCGCGAUUAUUCGUCCUUAUG